rnacentral:rRNA from 1 species
ACUACGGGCGGCAGCAGUGAGGAAUAUUGGUCAAUGGGCGGGAGCCUGAACCAGCCAAGUCGCGUGAGGGAAGAAGGUACUGAGUAUUGUAAACCUCUUUUGCCAGGGGACAAAGGCGGCCACGGGUGGCCGUACGAGGGUACCUUGCGAACAAGCAUCGGCUAACUCCGUGCCAGCAGCCGCGGUAAUACGGAGGGAGCGAGCGUUGUCCGGAAUUACUGGGUGUAAAGGGAGCGUAGGCGGGCGAGAAAGUUGAAUGUUAAAUCUACCGGCUUAACUGGUAGCUGCGUUCAAAACUUCUUGUCUUGAGUGAAGUAGAGGCAGGCGGAAUUCCUAGUGUAGCGGUGAAAUGCGUAGAUAUUAGGAGGAACACCAGUGGCGAAGGCGGCCUGCUGGGCUUUAACUGACGCUGAGGCUCGAAAGCGUGGGGAGCAAACAGGAUUAGAUACCCCAGUAGUC